rnacentral:rRNA from 2 species
GAACUGAAGAGUUUGAUCAUGGCUCAGAUUGAACGCUGGCGGCAGGCCUAACACAUGCAAGUCGAGCGGUAGAGAGAAGCU